AUUAAUUAAGCGAGCCAAGAAAAAGAAAUGAAAGGCCCCAAGUUUCUCGUUUAAAUACGGACGGGUAAGGCUCCCGCUCAAAUCGAUUUGAUCUUGCAGGCUGCCGAUCGGAGGAUGCAAAACGAAUUCUGUGUGAGCAGAAUCUUGAUCCUACUAGUGAUGGAAGAGGACUUCUUCAGUUUAAGACUGGUUUGAUGUCUGUAAUUAAUUAAGGUCCCAGAUUAGUGUCUGAUGCUUUUUGAAUAGCACCCACACCACUCUCUCUAGCUUCUAUGAGUGCAAGAUCUCCAAUAUUGAGUUGAAAUGAUUUUUAUCGAGAUGACUAGUGCUGGAACUAAUUACUUUGGUAAAGUAUCAUAUAUUUUGUUUGAUGGGCAAGCAUUGAGGAUGUUUCAUAGUUUAGAAUGUGGUGCUUGGAUCCGGUUGAAAGAUCAUGUUUUCUUUUGAUGUCAAAACAUAUUUUUUUGUACAAGUCUGAUAGGUUGGAAAUGAAAUAAACAAUUACCGGCCGGGGGGAGUGAAUUUUUGUUUUAUGUAAAUUGUAGCCUCCUUGUUUAUAACCUAUUGCCUUGACGAUUAACUUGACUAUGCUGGAAUGCAAACCAGAACUAAUUGUAUGCUAUAACGGUGUUUAUCUUCGGCCUAAUUCAUGUCCUGCAGUCUUUACUCUGUUUGAGGGUUAAAUUGGUAAUCUAAGCUUGUUUUGGGCGACGGUUUUACUUUCUCCUAAGCUGUCUGUCUUUUUCUUGUGUGAAUUCUCUCCCUUUUUUAGCAGUAAAGUCUGGAAUCUUUUUCAAUGAUGAUUACAUAAUAGUAAUUAACAAAACAAAGAAUAGUAAAAGGUUGGAAAAAACGGAUCCUAUGGGUUUCCUCCAAAAUAACUGGUUGUUUCAACUUAUAGAUUGUGAGGAAGACCUUCCCUUCACUCUUCUGUGGCUGUAAUUUGCCUCUUAUGUUUUUUCAUUCAUUUGUUGUUUCUUUGGAGCUCAGCUAUAUAGAGAUGAAAAAGACAAUUGCUAUCUUGAGGGCAUUAGUUGAGGAGUUGGAGUCGCUUAGCAAAGAUGCAGAUCCUUAUGGAGUUGGAAGGCAAAUUACAGAGUUGCGCAGAAUUAAAAGCACUGAUGCAACAUUAUCUGGGGAGCUCACAGCCUACAAUAUCGUCCCACUGGAAGCACCAUUACUAACCAAUGCAAUUGGAGUAUUUCCGGAAGUUAGAGGUGCGAUAUUGGCAAUUAGAUAUACUGAACAAUUCCCUAGGCUGCCAGCUAAGUUUGAGAUAUCUGGACAAUGGGAUGCAGAUAAAAAGACAAUGUAAGGAACCAGAGAGAGAAUUUUGUCCUUACAAUUGCAAAUGCACAAUCUCACCUUGGUAUACCUGCUCAGGCUGAUCCAAUGCUUAAUCCUUUGCAGACCAUACAAUGGUCUGAAGUGUAAGCUUGGCACUUUGGUAGGUUGCUCCAUUGCAACCUGAAGGUCCCAGGUUUGAAGGGGGAGAUAGCCUCUCCCAGAUGGGGUCAACAGUCUCUAGGCUCUGCAAUGGCUGGAUUCCCAUGCAUAUUCAGCUGUCUGUGUGAGCUGUGCUUGUUAUUCUCUCUUUUGUCUUGUAACAUCAUGUAUGUGAUUUUAAGAUGUUGCUCAUUAUUCUUUCUUUGCAUGGUUUCAUCAUGCACUCCUUCUUGGCAUAGACAAGGAAAUUCUAGCUAUGAAGCUCACUGAUACGCUAUAUAUUUUUGCAUUCCCAGAAAAUAGACGAGAAGGCAAUCAAUGAGGUAUUUCUGAAAGUCCUGGAUAAUUAGAUCAAAUGGUGCAAAUACCUGUGGAUCUGGCUUCACAAGCAAUUAAUCGGGACAUAAACUUUUUCUGGUGGCAUUGUACUUUCUGAUAUGGGGUGAGGCUGCAAAUGUCCACUUUCUUCCUGAAUGCAUUUGCUACAUGUUUGACCAUAUGGCGAAGGAGUUAGAUGCUAUUCCUGCUGCUAGCUGCACAAUAGAAAAUGAUUAUGUGUCCUUCCUCAAGCAGAUUGUUUAUCCUAUAUAUGAAACAUUGGCAGCGGAAGCUGCUAGAAACAAUAACGGGAAAGCUGCGCAUUCAGCAUGGUGGAAUUAUGACGACUUAAAUGAAUACUGUUGCUUUGUUUGCUUGUCAUUCAAUUAUGGAUGAACAAUGUGAUUCCUUCUUUUUGGUGUGUGAAGCAUCUGUGGAAUAUGCAGGUCACCUGCUUGUUUAGUUGAGCUGACCUAUGAGGAGGGAUUCAGCAUUUUUGCUGAAGCCUUAAAAGAGGAAAAGGAUCUCUUUUGUUAUUGCCUUUAAUGAUGGGAAGAUCAAUUCGGUUGCAUUGAAAAGUAUACUCAGGAUUGGGCCAGCAUUCGCUAUCAUGAACUUUGUAAACUCUUUUAUUAUUUUCAUUUUUUUUUUCUGUGUUCCAUAGUCUUUGGACUGCUAGUUGCAAGUUACUUGAAAUGAAGUCGCAAAAACUCAAUUCUGGUUUUGCUUUAAUGCAUUGGAUGAUGUGCAGGUAGUUUGGAUGUGUUGGUCAUGUUUGGGGCUUAUACCACAGCCAGAGGCAUGGCUAUCUCAAGACUUGUAAUUAGAUUUUUCUGGUUUGGCUUCAGCUCUGUUGCUGUGACAUAUAUUUAUCUGUGAGUAAUAUUUCAUUUGCAGAGUUAUACCACUUUACCCUAACUACAGUAUCAGAUGAAAAUUUAUUUAUUAUAUGAAAUAUAUGCACGAAAGUUCUGCACGAAAGAAAUGAUAACUCAAAUGAUCAUUCUAUUUUCGGAUAUACAGUUUAUGCAGCUUUACGCCUAGUCCUUGCGCUGUUACUCAAAUUUGUGGCAUGUAGAUUGAGGGCAAAUCACCUCAUGGCCAAAUCAUUUACUAUACCAUGUUAAGAGCUAGGACAGCGACUCAAAUGAGCAUCUUAAGUGACUCAUAUCUCGUUUGAUUAGAGUAUAAAUCUAGCCGUUCUCAGGGGAGAUUGCACAUUUGAUAAGGAUUUUGACUUGGCCGAGGCCAUGAAGGAGAACAUCACUCUUUAUGAUUCAUCGGAAGAAGAGGCAAUUCUUGAUUAAUGUAGAAUUUCGAUGAAUAAUUGAUAAAUUUAUGUAGGAUUUAUAACUAUCUUAUAUGAC